rnacentral:rRNA from 1 species
UACAGAGGUCUCAAGCGUUGUUCGGAUUCAUUGGGCGUAAAGGGUGCGUAGGUGGCGUCGUAAGUCAGGUGUGAAAUUUCGGAGCUUAACUCCGAAACUGCAUUUGAUACUGCGGUGCUUGAGGACUGGAGAGGAGACUGGAAUUUACGGUGUAGCAGUGAAAUGCGUAGAGAUCGUAAGGAAGACCAGUGGCGAAGGCGGGUCUCUGG